UGAGAAUUAGAACCUAACAGUUGUUAGGGUGAUGUUGCUUUUAAGCUUCUGCAUAUUUAGUUUUGGUUUUGUUUAUUUGUGUGUGUAUAGUUUAAAGUAACUCUGAAAAGUCAACAAGUUUAUUUGAUCAAUUAAUCACAUGAGUUCUCAUAUUUGAAAUAGCUGUGCUGUAGUUACCUAUAUUUUCAGGAAGUUUAAUGUAGGGUGGACCACAUGGACAGCUCCUUAGUGGUCAAUGAAAAUAAGGACAUUUUCUUCAGCGUCACUAAUGAUCUGUCACAACAUCAGACGUGAGUCUCCAUAUCCUCCUCUGUAGGUUUUUCUGUGUCCUACCAAGCACACAUCAGUUUUCUCACAUGACAAUCUUUGUGUGGAGUUCACUUCACUGACGGAAGAACGUGGAAAAUAUGUCUUUGUCUUAUAUUCUUCUCAUUUAUGUUGCCGGAGUUGCGGUAAAAGAAAGUUGUGCAGAUUCGGUUCCCACUCCCACUAUUGUAUUUUCCCCUGAUUACAUCAAUGUAGCUACACCUGUUACAGUACGCUGUGAGUCACCAGAAGGCACAGAGUGCAUUUUCUACAGAGAUCACGACCCCAAACCUAUAAGAACAGUGGAUUACAAGCAGGGUGCUUGCCAGUUCAAGUUGUUAUGGAAUGAGUUCAAAAAGUGGAACAAGACUGAAGUAGAUCUCAGCUGUGUAAUUCUACAGAACAGAGAAGAUAAAACGAUCAAAACCUCAAAACCUAGUGAUGCUCGAAGACUUAAUGUGGGUGAUCCAAUUGGAAUGCCCAGUGUUCAUGUGGAGAAGAUCGGGAAUUACCUCAAUCUUCGAUGUGAGUGCAAGGCUGGCACCUCAUGCUACUUUUAUCUGAACAAUGGUGACUCACACUUCAAAAAACUACCCUACAAAGACAAUGUCUGUGUGGGGAGAGUGGCAGAAGAGGAACUGCAGAGGAAGAGGAGCAGUGCUGGAGAGAUCUUCAUCACCUGUGCUGUGGAGCUGUUGGUAGAGGGUGAAGAUACUGUGACAUCACAGCGUAGUGAAUCCCUCGGUAUCACCAUAGAUGGAGCUACUAGUUCCCCAUCAGCGUUCAGUUUAAUCAUAACUGGUCAGGAGGAGACAAGCAGCAAUGUCACAGCCCAAGGAAGAGUUUCUUCAGGUCCAGUGUUCCUCGUCAUCAUCAGUCUGGGUGCUGGUUCCCUUUUCCUGGUUCUGCUAGCUGGGUCUGUGCUGUGUGUUCUCCAACGCAAUUGUGGGGUUCAAUGCAGGCCUGUAAAUACUGGAAGCCCACCUGAGCAGCAAGACCAAACCCCACCUUGUGUCUAUUCUGUCAUCACAAAGCCGUCUAGGGAUGAGGAAGAGGACAGUAGUCUGCAAUACGCUACUGUGACAUCUACCAGUGACCAAGCUAGUCUUCAAUAUGCAACAGUGACAUCUACCGGUAACCAAGUUGGACCUGGGCGCACCAAGAUCAAGUUUGAAAAAGCUGGAGAGUACGCCCUCUUAGCAGAAUCAUAGAAGAAGAAACAUUUACUGGAUUACAUGUUUUGCUAUAGUUUACAGUUACAAUCCUAUCUUUUUUUCUUCGUAUUGGAUCAUAAUUUACUCAUAGUCCAAAAACAAAUCCUGCCACAAUAACAAAGACUAAAGAUAUCUACUCCUUUCUGAAAACAAGCAGCUUCAACUAUUUGCAUUUUAGGUUAAUAUAAAUAAAUUAAAAAUAAACUGUCUGAAAUAUAAAAUAAAUAUUUUCCUAAAUUGAGUUACCCAAUCUAGUCAGCAGUCACCAAUCAGUAGUCACCAAUCUAUUUCACUCCUUGACAAGAGUCAAGAGAGACUCAAAUCCACAAGAGGGUAGAACACAUGUCAAACUUUGCUUGUUACAUCUCUACAUCUCUCUCUCCUUUUCUGAUCUCUCGCUCUUUACAUCUCUCUCUUUAAACAUGUCUGGAGUAUAUUAGUUUUCAGUGGUGGAAAAAGUACCCAACUGUCAUACUUAAGUAAAAGUAAAGAUACCUGAAUAGAAAAUGACUCAAGUAAAAAUGAAAGUAUUUGGUUUAAUAUAUUCUUAAGUAUCAAAAGAGAAAGUAUAACUAAUUUCAAAUUCCUUAUAUUAAGCAAACCAGAAUGCACCAUUUUCUUUUUUUUCUUAUUUUUUACGGAAGGCCUUGGGACCACUUCCACACUCAGCUAUCAUUUACAAACAAAUCAUGUCAGUUUAGUGAGUCCGCCAGAUCAGAAGCAGUAGGGAUGACCAGGGAUGUUCGGUUGAUAAGUGCGUGAAUUUGACUAUUUUCCUGUCCUACUAAGCAUUCAAAAUGUAGCUAGUACUUUUGGGUGUCAAUGAAAAUGUAUGGAGUAAAAAUUACACUGUUUUCUAAAGUAAUGUAGUUAACUAAAAGUAAAAGAAGUCAAAAAUAUGAAUAGUAAAGUAUAGAUACCCAAAAAAACGACUUAAGUAUUACUUUAAAGUAUUUU
rnacentral:lncRNA from 1 species